CCCAAAGGUCACAGAGGAAGUUGAUUGUUUCUCUCUACCAGUAUGUUUCCCAAAGGUCACAGAGGAAGUUGAUUGUUUCUCUCUACCAGUAUGUUUCCCAAAGGUCACAGAGGAAGUUGAUUGUUUCUCUCUACCAGUAUGUUUCCCAAA